rnacentral:rRNA from 1 species
GGGCCCGCACAAGCGGUGGAGCAUGUGGUUUAAUUCGAUGCAACGCGAAGAACCUUACCUGGUCUUGACAUACACAGAAUCUUGUAGAGAUACGAGAGUGCCUUCGGGAAUUGUGAUACAGGUGCUGCAUGGCUGUCGUCAGCUCGUGUCGUGAGAUGUUGGGUUAAGUCCCGCAACGAGCGCAACCCUCAUCUUCAGUUGCUAACGCCUAGGGCGAGCACUUUGGAGAAACUGCCUGGGAUGACUAGGAGGAAGGCGAGGAUGACGUCAAGUCCUCAUGGCCCUUAUGGGCUGGGCUACACACGUGCUACAAUGGCGGUGACAACGGGAAGCAAUUGGGCAACCUUGAGCAAAAGCCUAUCGUAGUCCAGAUUGGAGUCUGCAACUCGACUCCAUGAAGUAGGAAUCGCUAGUAAUCG